rnacentral:rRNA from 1 species
AUGAACGCUAGCGACAGGCUUAACACAUGCAAGUCGAGGGGCAGCACAGGUAGCAAUACCGGGUGGCGACCGGCGCACGGGUGAGUAACGCGUAUGCAACUUGCCUAUCAGAGGGGGAUAACCCGGCGAAAGUCGGACUAAUACCGCAUGAAGCAGGGGUCCCGCAUGGGGAUAUUUGCUAAAGAUUCAUCGCUGAUAGAUAGGCAUGCGUUCCAUUAGGCAGUUGGCGGGGUAACGGCCCACCAAACCGACGAUGGAUAGGGGUUCUGAGAGGAAGGUCCCCCACAUUGGUACUGAGACACGGACCAAACUCCUACGGGAGGCAGCAGUGAGGAAUAUUGGUCAAUGGGCGUAAGCCUGAACCAGCCAAGUCGCGUGAGGGAUGAAGGUUCUAUGGAUCGUAAACCUCUUUUAUAAGGGAAUAAAGUGCGGGACGUGUCCCGUUUUGUAUGUACCUUAUGAAUAAGGAUCGGCUAACUCCGUGCCAGCAGCCGCGGUAAUACGGAGGAUCCGAGCGUUAUCCGGAUUUAUUGGGUUUAAAGGGUGCGUAGGCGGCCUUUUAAGUCAGCGGUGAAAGUCUGUGGCUCAACCAUAGAAUUGCCGUUGAAACUGGGGGGCUUGAGUAUGUUUGAGGCAGGCGGAAUGCGUGGUGUAGCGGUGAAAUGCUUAGAUAUCACGCAGAACCCCGAUUGCGAAGGCAGCCUGCCAAGCCAUGACUGACGCUGAUGCACGAAAGCGUGGGGAUCAAACAGGAUUAGAUACCCUGGUAGUCCACGCAGUAAACGAUGAUCACUAGCUGUUUGCGAUACACUGUAAGCGGCACAGCGAAAGCGUUAAGUGAUCCACCUGGGGAGUACGCCGGCAACGGUGAAACUCAAAGGAAUUGACGGGGGCCCGCACAAGCGGAGGAACAUGUGGUUUAAUUCGAUGAUACGCGAGGAACCUUACCCGGGUUUGAACGCAUUCGGACCGAGGUGGAAACACCUUUUCUAGCAAUAGCCGUUUGCGAGGUGCUGCAUGGUUGUCGUCAGCUCGUGCCGUGAGGUGUCGGCUUAAGUGCCAUAACGAGCGCAACCCUUGCCACUAGUUACUAACAGGUAAAGCUGAGGACUCUGGUGGGACUGCCAGCGUAAGCUGCGAGGAAGGCGGGGAUGACGUCAAAUCAGCACGGCCCUUACAUCCGGGGCGACACACGUGUUACAAUGGCGUGGACAAAGGGAAGCCACCUGGCGACAGGGAGCGAAUCCCCAAACCACGUCUCAGUUCGGAUCGGAGUCUGCAACCCGACUCCGUGAAGCUGGAUUCGCUAGUAAUCGCGCAUCAGCCAUGGCGCGGUGAAUACGUUCCCGGGCCUUGUACACACCGCCCGUCAAGCCAUGGGAGCCGGGGGUACCUGAAGUCCGUAACCGCGAGGAUCGGCCUAGGGUAAAACUGGUGACUGGGGCU